GAAGCUGGAAUUGCUAGUAAUCACAGGUCAGCAUACUGUGGUGAAUACGUUCCCGGGCCUUGUACACACCGCCCGUCACACCAUGGGAGUUGGGGAUACCCGAAGCCUGUGAGCUAACUUUUAGAGGCAGCAGUCGAAGGUAGAAUCAAUGAUUGGGGUGAAGUCGUAACAAGGUACC
rnacentral:rRNA from 1 species